GAGCGAUCGACGGGAGCUUGCUCCCUGAGAUUAGCGGCGGACGGGUGAGUAACACGUGGGCAACCUGCCUAUAAGACUGGGAUAACUUCGGGAAACCGGAGCUAAUACCGGAUACGUUCUUUUCUCGCAUGAGAGAAGAUGGAAAGACGGUUUACGCUGUCACUUAUAGAUGGGCCCGCGGCGCAUUAGCUAGUUGGUGAGGUAAUGGCUCACCAAGGCGACGAUGCGUAGCCGACCUGAGAGGGUGAUCGGCCACACUGGGACUGAGACACGGCCCAGACUCCUACGGGAGGCAGCAGUAGGGAAUCUUCCGCAAUGGACGAAAGUCUGACGGAGCAACGCCGCGUGAACGAAGAAGGCCUUCGGGUCGUAAAGUUCUGUUGUUAGGGAAGAACAAGUACCAGAGUAACUGCUGGUACCUUGACGGUACCUAACCAGAAAGCCACGGCUAACUACGUGCCAGCAGCCGCGGUAAUACGUAGGUGGCAAGCGUUGUCCGGAAUUAUUGGGCGUAAAGCGCGCGCAGGUGGUUCCUUAAGUCUGAUGUGAAAGCCCACGGCUCAACCGUGGAGGGUCAUUGGAAACUGGGGAACUUGAGU
rnacentral:rRNA from 1 species